rnacentral:lncRNA from 1 species
AUGACCACAUCAAUGAUAAUUCAUUGUAACACAGAUUGGUAAAUAGGAUGAUGACGAAAAAGAGGAGAAUUCAGUGGCGAAUUAUAUGCAUAGUUGGGUUGAAAGCAUGUUAAUACGAUUUUGUUAUUUAUUCUGCUUUGUACAAGACUAAAAUGCUGAGUCGAUUGUUUAUCGUACUUAUUCAUACAGAAACGGCCAAAUUGAAGAUUAAUCACAUUAAUUUGUGUUAAAGAGAU